UACGAGUGCCUCAAGCGUUAUCCGGAAUCAUUGGGCGUAAAGGUUGUGUAGGUGGUUAUAUUAGUCUUUUGUUAAAUUCUUCGGCUUAACCGGGGGCAUGCAAAGGAAACGGUAUGACUAGAGGAUGCGAGGGGUCUGCGGAACUCAUAGUGUAGCGGUAAAAUGCGUUGAUAUUAUGGGGAACACCAAAAGUGAAGGCAGCAGACUGGAGCACUCCUGACACUGAAACAAGAAAGCGUGGGUCGCGAAUGGG
rnacentral:rRNA from 1 species